GACGAACCGUGCGAACGUUGUUCGGAAUCACUGGGCUUAAAGGGCGCGUAGGCGGGCUGUCAAGUCUGGGGUGAAAUGCCGCGGCUCAACCGUGGAACUGCCUUAGAUACUGACGGCCUCGAGGGGGGUAGGGGCGUGCGGAACUGUAGGUGGAGCGGUGAAAUGCGUUGAUAUCUACAGGAACUCCGGUGGCGAAAGCGGCGCGCUGGACCUCUUCUGACGCUGAGGCGCGAAAGCUAGGGGAGCAAACGGG
rnacentral:rRNA from 1 species